AUACGUAGGGGGCAAGCGUUGUCCGGAAUGAUUGGGCGUAAAGGGCGCGUAGGCGGCCAACUAAGUCUGGAGUGAAAGUCCUGCUUUUAAGGUGGGAAUUGCUUUGGAAACUGGAUGGCUUGAGUGUAGGAGAGGUUAGUGGAAUUCCCGGUGUAGCGGUGAAAUGCGUAGAGAUCGGGAGGAACACCAGUGGCGAAGGCGACUAACUGGACUAUGACUGACGCUGAGGCGCGAAAGUGUGGGGAGCAAACAGGAUUAGAUACCCUGGUAGUCCACACUGUAAACGAUGAAUGCUAGGUGUAGGGGGUAUCGACCCCUUCUGUGCCGGAGUAAACACAAUAAGCAUUCCGCCUGGGGAGUACGGCCGCAAGGUUGAA
rnacentral:rRNA from 1 species